CAAGUUGCUAGGGGCUACGGUUAGUCUGUCUUCGGGGUUUCAUCCUCAAACCAAUGGUCAAACCGAGCGAGCCAAUCAGGAUGUGGAAAGAGUGUUGCGAUGUUUGGUCUCCAAGAAUCCUUCCUCCUGGAGCCAACAACUCUCUAUGGUGGAGUACACGCACAAUUCAUUACCAGUGUCAGCUACGGGCCUAUCUCCGUUUAAGUGUAGUUUAGGGUACCAACCACCAUUAUUUCCCAGUCUGGAGUCCGAGAUCGCGGUCCCCUCCGCACACGCUUUCGUCCAGAGGUGUCGUCGCACUUGGAGUAGGGCACGUGAGGUCAUACUCCAAGUGAGACAGCGCACCAAGGCCGAUCGCCACCGGUCAAAGCCUCCCGUUUACGUCGUGGGUCAAAAAGUGUGGCUUUCUACUCAGAAUAUUCCGAUGCGUUCCGUCUCGAAUAAGUUGACUCCCAAAUUUAUAGGUCCAUUUUCUGUUGCUAAAAUCAUUAAUCCAGUAACAGUCCGCCUUAACCUCCCUCCUGUGUACAGACGAAUUCAUCCGGUGUUCCACAUUUCCAAAAUCAAACCCGUGUUUAAAUCUCGUCUUAAUCCGCCUGUCCCGGUUCCCCCCCCGCCUCGUAUCGUAGAUGGGGAACCAACCUAUUCGAUCAAUCGUAUUCUGGACUCUAGACGGAGGGGGCGCGGAUUUCAGUACUUGGUGGAUUGGGAAGGUUACGGUCCGGAGGAGAGAAGUUGGGUUCCGGCUCGGGACAUAUUGGAUCACUCCCUUAUUGAUGAUUUCCAUCGCAGGUCAAGGAGCCCGGGAACGUCAGGUGACGUCCGUGGGGGAGGGGGUACUGUCACGGUAGGAUAAGUCCACCGUGACUUUCUGUGUUGUGUCUGUCUGUAUGAUUGAAGUGUGUGUGUGCGUGUCUGAUCGCUAAUGAUCUGAGUGAGUGCAGGUGUGCGUGAUUGCUUUGCUCCAGCUGGUGGUAGUUACCCAUACGGCAUAUAUACUCACUCAUUCUCUCCUCUCACUGCCAGAUGAUUAUACUACGUUGUCUACCCGUGUUAUCGUGUCGUGUGUUCCUGUGGUCUCGUUUUCGCUGUGGAGUUCUGCCUGUCUAUGUAUCCGGUUUCAUCCGUCAGUCUGACUUCAUUCACGAGCACUUGGAUCCGUCACCGCAGCCUUUGUCUGUCCAACUUACCAACAUAUCAUCUGUGUCAUCUGUCAUAUCAUCUGAGUCAUCUGUUUAAUAAACCUGUUUUCAUUUAUCUUGCAUUUGCUUCCUGAUUUUUCAAACCAGUCAUCACACGGCUUCCUUUGUUUUUUCCACGAAUAAAAGCUGAAAAAACGUAUUCCGUUGUUCAGUUUCCUCCCUGAACGAUCGCGUGACCUGCUUGAUCGAGCAGUACUGACCAAACAUAUCGAAGUUUAUUAAAAUCUCGACAGAAAAUACAAAAACAACCUCCAACACAUGAACUCAAAUACAGCGGGAUAGGACGCGUGCCUGCAAAUAUGGCGGAUUAUCCAUAUUGCAACACCGCGUGACGUCAACUCCACAUUCCCUAUUCUAAUGGUUUAGAAAUUCAGUUUAAAACAGAUAACGUUAAUAUGAGGAAGAAACGUGUACGUUUUAAAUAAAUAAUCGUUUGUUGUAAAAGUUGAAAUCAAACUGAUGCUUUUAAUAUCAUGUUUAGAUCAUGAAACUUUAGCCUUGAGUUCACAGACAGGGUAUCAAAACACAUAUUGUGAACUCUCAUUUGGGUGUAAGUUACAGACAUUUUUGUCUUUUUGAAAAGUUUUUGAUGAUGCCCACUUAAAUCACAGUUUUGGCUUUUUUCCACAGACUCUGAUGGAUAAAAGAUGGAUAUUUUUUCCUGGAGAAGCUAAAACAAUGUAACUUUGAGGUUCUGAUACCAGCUUUUACAACGUUAUUUACAGAGUUCACAAGACUCUGUGUUAUUCCCUGAACAUGCCAAAAAGCUAUUUGAAACUUGGGCACUGCAUUUUACAGACAGAAUCCUGCAACUUCCCAGCCAAGAACCAGGAGCAUCAACAAAUCACCUCCAGAACCCCAUGAUGAUAUUCCAACUCCUGUCUACAAAAGUGGGAAGAAAAUCUUAAGUCUAUGUUGGGACCAACAUGGUUGCAUUCUUCUGAGAGGCUGAGGUGACAAAACCAUUCCCAUUUGUCCUUGGAUUGGAAGAUGACGAUCUCUGCCAUCAAGCCUUCGUUGUUUUUGACAGACAGUCACUCCAGCAAUACACCCUCCUUGGUGAUGUUGACAUGUUUUAAAAAAAAAAUUAUGUUUUGGACAUUCAUUUACUAAGCAGUGCACAUCAGUGUGGGUGUUUUUGAAGACUGUUGUUUACAAACUCCCAAGAACGGAAUCCCUUUCUAUAAGAAGUCUGUGUAGUUAUUUGUCAUGCUAAGGCGAUAACUCAUGUUGAUCAUAUAUUGACUGUUUGUGCAACUUUGUGUUGAUCUUAUGUGUUACAUUAACCAUUUCUUAUUACACGGUUCUCUAAAAUGCUAGUUUCUGAUUGGCCAGUCGUGACAUUCUACUACUGCUCAAAACUAAAAACUCCAAUGCUGCAAAUCAUUUUGACAGGUACAGUUUUAUAUUACACAAAAAUUAAAUAUCGAUGUCUAUUAAUUACAUAUCCGACAUUAAAUUUACAAAUGAUUAAACCAAUGUGUUCGUGACAUUUGUCCUGAAGAAACUGUUGGGGCUUUUUUCUGUGAUGACA